CGUAGGUGGCAAGCGUUGUCCGGAUUUAUUGGGUUUAAGGGGUGCGUAGGCGGCUUUGUAAGUCAGUGGUGAAAUACUCCAGCUCAACUGGAGAGGUGCCAUUGAUACUGCAGAGCUAGAGUACUGAUGAGGUAGGCGGAAUGGACGGUGUAGCGGUGAAAUGCUUAGAUAUCGUCCAGAACACCGAUAGCGAAGGCAGCUUACUAAAGAGUAACUGACGCUGAGGCACGAAAGUGUGGGGAUCAAACAGGAUUAGAUACCCUGGUAGUCCACACUGUAAACGUUGAUCACUAGAUGUUGGCGAUACACUGCCAGCGUUCCAGCAAAAGCGAUAAGUGAUCCACCUGGGGAGUACGCCCGCAAGGGUG
rnacentral:rRNA from 1 species